ACGGUUUAGAAGGCACGCUUGAAAAAUCUCUAGGACCAAGGUAGUCACCUAUUGGUUGUGAGAUUUAGCAGGUGUAGAUGCUAAUGCGCCUAAUCAAUUGAAAAAAUACUAGUACUAAUGCGUGAGCAGCAAAUUGGGAGGGCGCAUGCAUGAGUAGUACUAGUACUAAUUAAUAUGAGUAAUUGUUUUCGCGUCUUAAACCUUGUCUAUUUUAGAAAUGCACCAAAUUUAACUGUGUCUUCUAAACCGUGACAGAGCGAGUAAUUUUACCCGACUAGAACUAUCUAUACAAAUGUUCAGGACAUCUUUAAUCUUUAUCCCUCCGCAUAUUUUCGGUAGGAUGGCAAGCUCGGUCUUAGGCUUCCUCCAAUGCAAAGGUGCUAAGUGAGGUGCUAAGAUUGAGUAUUAAAUAUAUUAAGUAACCAUAAUCUUCAAUACAUUGGUGCUUAAUUUGUUGUUGCUAAGGUUGCCUCGUUUAAUUGUUUAGCAACUAAAGUCUUGUAUGCAUAGGCUAGUUCCCUUCAUUUUUAAUGUUUUGCAUAGGUUUUCGUGACUAGCACCGUUUCCUCUUGAGGACACCAAACUUCUCUCUCUCUUCUUAAUUAGAUUGCCACAUAGGAUUUGUUUGCCUUGUUGACAUGCUUAGCACCUAUCUAAAGUGGAGCAUUGGGAGCAGCCUUAUGUAACAUCCUCUGUUGUGUACUAUUUGUUUGCGUUGGUUAGAGCAUCUAUAAACGGACUCCUUAAAUCCGUCUCAAACGUCCGGGUAGCCCGUUCAGUCACUGACCGGUCAUAAAAAAUCGAUCCAGCCGGACCCCUCAUAUCCAUUUCAAACACUCGGACUGACCAACACCUCUGAUAUCCAUUUUAAAUAUGAGAACGAUAAGAGGGCUCGUGGACGCGCCCAGGCAUGCCCGGUCAGUCCACCACGUAGGACACGAACCCACUCCGAGCUAUCUUUUUUUCUUUCUUUAUUCAUUAUUUCCUUUCCGUCUUCUUCUCCAUCAAUUACGUGCAAGUGACCGGACAUAUGAGAAAAAAUAUAAGAGGUACGUAAGAAUUCAAAACGGAUACGCCUAAUCAUUGACCGAUCGUGUCCGCGGGCGUUUGAUGGCAUGGAUUUGCAAGUUUCCACUGUGGAUGCACUUAGAGUCUCCCCAAAACACAUGUAUGCUGGAAUUGGAGAGAUGAGAAUGAGAUGACACCAGGUAUGAUGUCUUACCCAGCUUGGUCUUCGCAUUUCAGGGAAUGCGGUAAUCUAUCUAUUAUCUUAGUUGUACUAAAUGUCAUCUUUUCGUCAACUAUAUCAGUAACAAUACUAAACCUGCAGCGAUCCGAGUUUUCUCCUUUUUCUAAUUUUAUUUUUUUACUGCUCCUGCAGAGAAUUACGUGGAGUGCUGAGGUGUAAUCAAUUUUUUUACUGGUUCUGGAUGUUUCUCACCGCCUAUUUUUUUUUCCUGCAACAGCCAAUCCAAUCUCUUCGUCUCCAUCUCUUUCUCCCUCGAGGAGAGCGCCGUUGAACCGGCAGCCAUCUUGUUUUCUGGAUCCUAGCUCUUCCAUCUCCCGGGAAGUCACAUGGGGUUCCCUAAGCUGAGAUGCUGCUGGAGAUAUCCUUCGCAUGAUGCAAGUGAGCGCCUAGCGCCGCCUACUUGGCAGCCCGGCGGCGUGGAUUCUCGAUCAGCAGUCGGCGGUGGAUGAGCUCGCGACCGCCACCUCUCUCCUCCACCGUCUCCUCCUGGUACUCGCUCUCUCUCUUUUCCUCCCUCUCUCUCGCUCCCUCUAGACAUUUUUUUUUCCAUACGUGCAUGCUAUGCAUGUGUUCGACAUAAUGUCUCAAUGCCGGGAAUAUUCUGGGUAAGAAGAACAAGGGCAGCAUGCAUCGGAUAACUCAAUUGUAUGUUGAUGUUCGAACUAAGUAUGGCUUAUGGUUGCCCUUAUUGAUAUGAAUUCCCCCCUAGCACAUGUUUUAAAAGAUUGCGAUUUCAAGAAUUUGUUGACACUAAAGAAUCAUGGUAGUGUUUAGAAACUAAUAGAACAACAUAUAUGUAUUGCCAUGCUAAUUUUGUUUCCUAAUCACUUCAAUGUUCCUUGCUCCGGAUCACCAGCGGAGAAGGCAUCGCUGAAAUUUGCGCCGGGCGCACCUGCCAAACUACUUGUUGAAACAUUCCUUGUGAGUUGUAAUUUUUUUUCCUCCGAGUAUCAUUCUUAGAUGUUGUAACCUGUUGUUGACAUGAGACACACUAAUUGAAUCAUUCUGCGCUUGAUUUGUAUUCUAGAAUGAGUAACAUUCGAUCAAAUCUUUGGAGGAUGCCCUUGCAUAUGGUACUGACACUGUAGAUGUUAAUCAUGUUGCUCAUGUAGGAUUAGGAAAGAAAGCCAAACCGAGUCCUAAUAGUAUUAGGAUUCCUAGUCCUAGUCUAUUUCCAUAGUCCAUUGUGGACGUGUAUAAAAGACACCCUAGGGGUGUUGAUUGUAACACCAGAAAAACGAAAAGCAAUACAAAGCAAAGGCUCGACACGGGCCUUUAGCCAUCAAAUCCAUCGAUCAGUUUUAUUCGUGUCGCUAGUUACGCAAGUUUCGUCAAGUAGCCGGCCGAAGCAAGAAUCGCGUAGGCACGCCUGUACAGCUGCAUACGCACGUUCAAAAGCCAACAAUUGGUAUCUAGAGCCUCGACGAUCUACGAUCUACGAUGACGGACAGCGACGCUGAGUCGGUCAAGUCCGGCAGCGGCGGUGCCAAGGCGAAUAAGAACGGCGACAAGGUGAAGAAGGGCGUCAAGUCAGCAACCAGUGGUGGAGGAACGAGCGGCGCUAACGUCCAGGCGCAUCGCAACAUCCCCAUCCAGUACCCGAUGCUCACCGACGCCAACUACGGCGUGUGGGCGGUGAAGAUGAAGAUUAUUCUCCGAACCCUUCGAGUGUGGCAGGCAAUCACGGACGACGACGUCGAUGACGAGUCCGACGAAGGUGCCAUGGCCGCCAUAGCCCAGUCUGUGCCGGAUUCCGUGCUGAUGACAUUGGCGGAGUUCGAGACGGCAAGAGAGGCGUGGAACGCACUCAAGGAGAUGAGGAUCGGAGAAGAUCGCGUCACCAAGGCUCGGGCACAAGUGCUGAAGCGCCAAUUUCAUAAGUUGCAGAUGGAGGAAACUGAAUCGGUGAAUGACUACGCCAUGCGUCUUACUACUUUGGUGGGAGAGAUCCGCGCGCUUGGUCCAAAGCUCGAUGAGACCGAGAUCGUGGAGAAAUUUUUCAGUUCUGUCACUGAUAAAUUCACGUACAUCAUCGGCACGCUCGAGCAGCUUUACGACAUCGACGACAUGACCAUAACGGAGGCGAUUGGACGCCUGCGGACGUGGGAAGAGAAUGCUCGCGGCUGUCGAAAAGGCAACGGAGGAGGUAGUGACCAACUCAUGUACACGCGUACAGAUUGGGAGUCCCCAAGUAGCAAAGGAAGGCGUGAUGGCAACGAAGGCUCAAGCAACGCAACGCGCGGCGGACAAACCGGAGAAGGCAAAGGAAAAGGCCAACCACAAGGUCGUGGUAAGGCAGACCGAUCUAAAGGGCGGAAGCAACGGAACUUGGAUAUGUCCGAGGUCAAGUGCUAUAACUGCAACGAGAUGGGCCACUUUGCAAAGAAUUGUCCGGAGCCUGACAAGCGGGAGAUCAAGGCAAAUUUGGCAAAGGAGGAAGACGAAGGUCCAGGUCUUCUGAUGGCCGAAGUUUGUGAUCUCGCUGAAACAGUGGUUGUGAAACCAAGCCGGAAGGUGCUACUUCAUGAGAAGAAUGUGACACCUAAGUUAUCCGGGGAUCACAACGUGUCGUGGUAUCUCGACACGGGUGCCAGUAACCACAUGACGGGAUGCAAGGAGAAAUUUCUCGAGCUGGAAUAUGAUGUUGAAGGCUCGGUCAAGUUUGGUGAUGGUUCAAAUGUGGAGAUUUGUGGGCAAGGAUCUGUCCUCUUCGAGGGUCUCACAGGCGAACAUCGCAUACUCACCGGAGUGUACUACAUCCCACGGCUUCGCAACAACAUCAUCUCUAUCGGGAAACUUGACGAGAAUGGAUGCAAGGUGGAUAUCGAGAACGGAGUGAUGACGAUCUUCGACAACCUCCGAAACGUGCUAACUCGUGUUAGUCGCACACGGAACAGGCUCUAUAUCCUCAACCUUGAUCAAUCUCAACCGGAGUGUUGGCUCGCCAAGAGUGAUGAUGAUUCGUGGUUAUGGCAUGCUAGAUUUGGACACGUUAACUUCUACGCCUUGAAGAAGAUGUCAAAGAUGCAGAUGGUAUCCGGGAUGCCAGUUAUCGACCAUGUUGAUCGAGUAUGUGACGGGUGCUUGGUUGGAAAACAGCACCGCAUGCCAUUCCCUGCUCAGUCUACCUAUCGUGCAAGUGAUGCACUCGAGCUGCUCCAUGGUGAUCUAUGUGGCCCUAUCACCCCGGCAACUCACGCUGGAAAGAAGUAUUUCUUCCUUGUGGUAGACGACUACUCGAGAUAUAUGUGGGUCAUUCUCCUACGAUCUAAAGAUGAGGCGUUUAAAGCGUUCAAGAAAUUGAAGGCUGCAACAGAGAUGGAACACAAGCUGAAGGUUCGCGCUCUACGGACAGAUCGCGGCGGAGAGUUUACGUCGAAUGAGUUCAACGACUACUGCGAGAAGAUUGGCAUAAAGAGGUUCCUCACGGCACCUUACACGCCGCAGCAGAAUGGGGUCGUUGAAAGGCGCAAUCGAACCGUUGUUGACAUGGCAAGGAGUUUACUCAAGAGCAAGAACCUGCCAGGGACUUUUUGGGGAGAAGCUGUCUCGACGGCGGUCUAUCUUCUCAACCGGGCUCCAACGAAGGCGGUGAUCGGCAAGACUCUGUAUGAAGCAAUUUACGGACGUAAGCCGAAUGUGUCUCAUCUACGGACAUUCGGGUGCGUGGCACAUGUGAAGACGGCGGAGCCGCACCUCUCAAAGCUUGCCGAUCGUAGCACCAAGAUGGUGUUCAUCGGAUACGAGAGCAGUUCUGGCACCAAGGCAUACCGUUUCUACGAUCCACAAACCAAGCGUCUACAGAUUUCACGCGACGUCGUGUUUGAAGAAAACCAAGCGUGGAAUUGGAGCGCCGCAGCCGACGAUGCUCCAAACAGUAACAUAUUUGCAGUUGAAUUUCCAACUGAUGAUGAUGCAGGGGAGGAUGUCCAGGUGAUUGGCAAGACGCCCAACCAAGGUGACCACAACGGUAGUGAUCAUCAUGGUGCCGACACCGACGACGACGAGCAUAGGUCGCAAGGAGAUAGCGACAACGCCGCGCACGACACAGGCGGAGAUCUCGACGACAACAUCAACAACGAGGCGCAUAGUGACGACGACAAUCAAGAUGAUGGUCACGGUCACGACGACUACGCCGAUGACACGGAUGUCGAUGACACAUCAAGGUCUCAGCCGUCUUCCUCAAGUGCAUCAACGCCGACACAAUUUGUGUCGCCUCCUUCGCAAGCCACAACGGACUCCUCAGGGCCUCGUCGCUACAAGACCCUCAAGAAAGUCUACAAGUACACAAAGCCAGUUACGCUCGAGUACUCUGGACUAUGUCUGUUCGGAGUUGAGGAGCCAGCGAACUUCAUAGAGGCGAGCAAAAGUCCUAGCUGGACGCACGCCAUGGAUGAGGAGAUGAAGGCAAUUGAGAGCAAUGGCACGUGGACUUUGGUAACCCGACUCCAAACCAAAAGACGAUAGGUUUGAAGUGGGUUUACAAGUUAAAGAAGGACACGGAGGGUGCCAUUGUGAAGUACAAGGCAAGACUCGUUGCAAAGGGCUACGUUCAACGUCAAGGAGUUGACUAUGAUGAGGUGUUUGCACCGGUUGCUCGAAUCGAGACGGUGAGAGUGCUCCUAGCUUUGGCAGCACAAGAGGAUUGAAAGGUUCAUCAUAUGGAUGUUAAAUCCGCUUUCCUCAACGGCGAUCUCACAGAAGAAGUGUACGUGGAACAACCCCUCGGCUACGAGAAGAAAGGCGAAGAAGGGAAAGUUUACAAGCUCAAGAAGGCACUUUACGGGUUGAAGCAAGCGCCAAGAGCUUGGAACUCAAAGUUAGACCGAAGUCUGGUCUCGCUCGGGUUCAAGAGAUGUCCCCUCGAGCACGCAGUCUAUACAAAGAACUCCAAAGGCUCAAACCUGCUAGUUGGAGUUUAUGUCGACGAUCUGAUUAUCACCGGAGAUAGCGUACAAGAAAUUGAACGUUUCAAGGCGCAAAUGAAGAACAAGUUUAGCAUGAGUGAUCUGGGAUUACUCAGCUAUUACUUGGGCAUCAAGUGAAGCAAAGCUCCGGAGAGAUUUCCCUAUGUCAAUCGGCUUACGCGGUCAAGUUAUUGGACAAGUGUGGCAUGUCAGAUUGCUACGCGACACAAGUUCCAAUGGACCAACGUCACAAGUUGAGCAAGCGUAGCUCAAAUCCGCCGGUGGACACCACAAUGUAUCGAAGCGUUGUGGGUAGCCUAAGAUACUUGGUGCAUACUCGACCUGACUUGGCUUAUUCAGUCGGGAUCGUGAGUCGUUUCAUGGAGAAACCGACAACCGAGCACAUGAGCGCGGUCAAUCAAAUCUUGCGCUAUGUGAAAGGCACCAUUAAUCUUGGUUGCACGUACAGAAAGGGAAAGGAAGGAUUGAUCCUUCGUGGAUAUUCAGAUAGCGACAUGGCAGGUGAUGUUGAUGACCGAAAGAGCACAACGGGCAUGGUUUUCUACCUUGGCCCGAAUCCGAUUAGCUGGAAUUCUCAGAAGCAAAAGGUGGUGGCACUGUCUUCAUGCGAGGCAUAAUACAUAGCGGCAAGCACGACGGCUUGUCAAGCAGUGUGGCUGAGAAGACUCCUAGCUAUUCUUGCAAAGCGGGAGGUGCAGAAGGUGUCACUGAAGAUCGAUAACCAAGCUGCAAUCUCGUUGUGCAAAAAUCCGGUUCAUCACGAAAGGAGCAAGCACAUAGAUACCCGGUUCCACCAUAUCCGGGAGUGCAUUGAAGAAGGGUUGAUCGAGGUUCAACAUGUGAACACGAAAGACCAACUUGCCGAUAUUUUCACCAAGUCCCUCGGUCGACAGAAGUUCAUCGAGAUGAGGAGGAAAGUCGGAGUGCAAGAAGUGAAGUCAAGCAACAAGAUUAAGGAGGUGAAUGUAGAUGUUAAUCAUGUUGCUCAUGUAGGAUUAGGAAAGAAAGCCAAACCGAGUCCUAGUAGUAUUAGGAUUCCUAGUCCUAGUCUAUUUCCAUAGUCCAUUGUGGACGUGUAUAAAAGACACCCUAGGGGUGUUGAUUGUAACACCAGAAAAACGAAAAGCAAUACAAAGCAAAGGCUCGACACGGGCCUUUAGCCAUCAAAUCCAUCGAUCAGUUUUAUUCGUGUCGCUAGUUACGCAAGUUUCGUCAAGUAGCCGGCCGAAGCAAGAAUCGCGUAGGCACGCCUGUACAGCUGCAUACGCACGUUCAAAAGCCAACAGACACCUGACAUAGGUAUUUUACUUCCAUAUUUGCAUUUUUUAUCAGAUGAAUUUUACUUUGCUGCCUCGUAGAGUCUCAAUUAGAUUUGGGAAACAAGUCGAUUUUGAUCAGUCUAAUAAUUUGUGUUAUUUCUUAGCCAUCAUGGUACAGAAUGCAAUUUUGUUGUUGUAGAUGUUUCCAACAGAGAGGACAAAUACGUGAUUUCAUCUCUUCUAGAACUGCUAGACAUAUAUUUGUUAGGUUGGUAUCAAGAAUAAGUGGGAAAAAAGCUUCAAAGACAAGGUCUUAUUGAACAUGCUCUACUUACACUUGAACCAUGGCAUGUCAUGAGGUUUCAUUCCAAAUGCAGGGUUCAAUGUUAAAACUGUUGAGUACAAGAACAUGAACUUCACUGGGCCAUGACAAAGUAUGAGCUGCUACAAUGUUUUGUUUCAGUGCUCUUCUUCCCUUACCUCUACCCUACCCACAAAUUGUUCCUUCUCAUUUAGCUGAUACUUUGUGCUUGCAAGAACAGAUGAGACCGCUCAUGAGGUCCUAAAAUGAGAUUGAUCACUUACCAGAAAAGCAUAACAUUUUAACUUCACAUGCUUAAUGUGCCUUUAUUCUGUGGUAGUACAACCCAUACAAGCUAGAGCUAUAUUUUUGUGCUACUCAUGCACAUUUAUUCAUACAGAUUUUCCUGAACCUAAUAUUAAUUUUUGUGCCACUCAUAAGUACUAAUUCUUUACAAGUAUUGCUGAACUUAUUGAUAUUAAUUAUGUUGUUGUUGCUCCAAAGAGGGCUCCAAAGAGGCUUCUAGCAGCAGAUGUUAUUGGUCACCUUGAAGAAAGGGUAGUUUAAACUUUUUAUCUAAAUACUCAAAUUAUGUAGAACACUUAUCUGAAUUCUUAAUAAGUCCGUUAUUGGUUAUUAAUGUGAUGAUUCUGUGGUCCUUGGCGGUCCUUUGCUGAGUUUAUUUUGUUUUCCAACACAGUGAAGUCCUUUUGCAUGACAGGAAAAGUUGUGUGGACAAAGAGGUGAGAAAUAACAAGUAAUUGACUUGAUUAGUUAGAAACUUAGAGGUUGUAUUUUUCUUAUCAAUUUAGUUUUUGCGUGAAAUAUCCACUGGUUUCACGGUGAAAUAUCCAGUGGUUUCACAUGCCGUGAAACCUUUUACUUUGGCAGUACUAUUUUUCGGGGUUCACAAACAAAUCUGAAAACCUAUAAUUCCAGAUGAUUUCCGUUAAACUUACAUCCCAUAUAUUUGUAAGCUGCUUAUGUCAUGUAAGGUGGAAGUGGACUAGGCAAACAGAAAAUGUGAUUUGUUUGCUUCUCUUUUAUUCUUGGCUUCUUGCUCUGUGUAGUUUUAUAAAUACAUGGGUAUUUUCUGAAUUAAGCUGCAGUUCUAUAUAUACAUGGCUGUUUUUGUCGAAUUAGAUGGAUAGAUUGUUCUCUAUUAAGAAACUGUACCAAGUAGGACAUUAUAGGAUAUAUUUUGCACUGCAUAUUUUGUCCAAAGAUGAUAGUUCAAGCCUGCUUAUAUAAGAAUCAAACUAUAAACUAUAGAUUUAUCACAAAUUUUCGGAUUAUUUGUAUUUUCCCAUGCAGCCGGUUGUAUUUUCCCAUGCACUACCCUGUCAAACCCUAAGACAAAAGGAACAACCGUAUGAAUUAUAAUCAAGCCAACGACACGCACUCACAUGGGAAUUUUCACGGAUGCGGCGUGCGCCGCGCAUCUUCGGUGCUACUCUCUUCGUUUCUAAAUAUAGAUUUAACUAGAUGACUACAUACUAAGCAAAAUGGAUGAAUCUACACUCUAAAGUAUGUCUAUAUACAUCCGUAUGUAAUUCUUUAGUAGAAUCUCUAGAAAGUCUUAUAUUUAGGAACGAAGGGAGUAGUAUAUAGCUAAAAGGGCAUUCUUCUUCCAUUAGAAGAUGUGCUGAAACUAGUAUAAUAUCUUUAGAUAAAGGGCCUAUGCAGAGCAUGCAAUUAUUUUAUUAAUUAUUAAUUACUCACAAAGACUUUACAAAUUAAUACAUUACUAAGCUUAAAGUCAUCAUCUUGACAACACAUGCCGCUACCCCUAUCCCCUUGAUAAAGGGGUGCCGAAUGUCUGAGUCGAAUAACAAACAAAUAUUGCACCAAAAUCUAACAUUUAAAACGGGAUGCUCCAGCCAAGCCACAAUGACGGUAGUGAGUCACACACCGGUCUGACGCAUUCUCAAAGGCCGUUGCCGCCGUCUUCCAUCCAUCCAUCUUCGAUGCAGGUAUACCGACGCACCAGCCUUGCCAGGCCUACCGUCAACUCCAUCAACCUGGAUGUAUCCAUCCACACGUGCCCGUCACCGAAACUCCCCAGCGAGAUGCCAUCAGGAUCCUCCGUCGGCCUUGUCGUAGAUGUAACAUUGCUCCUCCUGUGGAGUCCUACAACUAGCACUUGCUUCAAAAGGAUGCUUCUCCGAGGGAGAAUGACACCGAAGGCGUCGUCAUCGUCCAAUCUGCUAGAGCCUGAUCUAGGAUUUCCAUCGGGACAUCCCGAUAGAGUUGACGUGACCUGCAACAACGAUGCCUUGAGAACAAAACGAUGCCAGAGACGGUGUCAUCGUCCGCCUAGACCGCAAUGAGGCACGGUUUUCACCGGAAGCCGCGUCAUCCCGAUCUAACGGCUGGCUAGAACCGCACGGAGCUUCGCCAUGAAGACGUAUGCCGCCGUGGAUACUCCAACGGAGAUCCACCAUCCCCUCACCGGAGCCUCAACAUGUCAUCGAUCAUCCACGUGAUGAAUCGAUGACAUAUUUGGGUGGGAUCUAGAUCCACAGCCGCAGACAUGCCCACCAUCCCUAUCAGCACCAGCCGUGGUGCCGUCAGUUACGCCGCACGACCAGGGAGCCGCCCUGGCCACGGUGCGACGCCCCCAGCCUGAGGUUCCCCAGCCGCCUCAAGUGGUUGUCGUCUCCUCCUGUUUCCUCAGUGCCUUGGCACCGGGUGCUGUCACCAUCGCGGCCAACGCCAGCAGCAAUGGCGACAAGAUCUUUCACUGCGGGGUGGGGGGCGGCCCUGGGAUCUGAUCCCGCUGGCGCCGCCCUAGGGUGGCAGCGCUGAGUGGGUCGAGAGGGGUUGGGCACAAACCUUAACUAAAGCCACAUGGGAAGCGUAGAAACUAGCCAUUUUUUAUAAAGGACAUUUCAUUGAAUUUAUUUAUCAAGGUGAUACAACCGCAUCCAAAGAAUGUCCGGUCUCUGCAUAACAUAUGAUGCACACGGCGAACAAGUUCAAACGACCAAAAAUAAACAUUGUUUUGCAGCAAAAAUAAAUUAAUCCAGUUUAGGAUGGGGCAGAUUCUAUAGCGAUAAAUCGAUCCAGCCUAGGGUGGUGCAGAAACUAGCCAUGGAGGAUGAUUUCUUCUUCCAGGGCAUCGAUGAGGCUUUGAAGGCUUCGUUGGAGGAUCAACUAUCACUGAGCAGAAGCCCCGCGACAGGCUGGAGUGAGUUACACAUUAUUCUACACGGGGUGCCAUCACCAUCAAGACGCCACCGUCCUGAAACCCUAGCCUUACUACGAGACGAGCACGAAGCUACGUGGGGAAUCCACAUAAGCCACUCUGCUCAGUACAUUGCGCUCAUCGCCAGACACAGCUCACUCAUUUGUGGAUUUUUAGUUUUGUUGGUUAACCGAUAAAGUUGUUUGGUUUCAUAGUUUUAAUUAGUUGUCAGCUACUCCCUCCGUUCCUAAAUAUAAGACCUUUUAGAGAUUACAUUAUGGACAAUAUACGGAUGUAUAUAGAAAAAUUUUAGAGUAUAGAUUCACUCAUUUUGCUUCGUAUGUAGUUUAUAGUGUUAUCUCUAGAAAGUCUUAUAUUUAGAAACGGAGGGAGUAGUUAAUUUGCCUUGGAAGCUUGAGCUGAUAUGGAAAAGUUGGCUACCGUCUAUGGCUGAGCAGUUUCUCUAUUAAUGUACCGUAUAAUAUAGAGUAGCAGAUGAUGACAAUAGUUCUGCUAAGUGACGUGGCGAACUAAAUUGAGCAACACAUGAAACAUGCUAAUGUUAGAUGAUUAAAAGUUGAGCACCAUACUAAUGCUAGCCUGGCUAAGUACUACCUUCGUCUUAAAAUAUAUACUCCCUCUGUCCCAAAAUAACUGUCUCAACUUUGUACUAGCUCUAGUAUAAAUUUGUACUAAGCUCAAGACACUUAUUUUGGGACGGAGGGAGUAUAAGACAUUUUUACGGGCUAAACUAAUAUAAGACGUUUUUGUAGGCUAGUUUAGCCUAAACAUCUUAUAUUUUGAAAUGGAGGUCUAAAUUUUUUGUUUGGAAAGGCGCCUAUCCAAGUAUUUCCACUCUUUUUUUAGUCAAAAUGACAGCUCAGAUCUAGUCUGCAGGAAAAACGUGCAUCUUGUCAAAUAUGCAACUAUAAGAUAUUAAGUCUGCCUACUUAAUUAAUGUGGAGACGUAUAGCAUAGUUAAGAAUCAGCCAAACAUACUUCACCACAAAAUUGAUUUGUUAUAGAUUUCUCAAGGAAACCACAUGGAUUACUAGACUAGUGUGGAGGUAGGAGUAUAACAUACACUAGUAGAAAACACGGCUUUGGUUCGGGCCUGGCCAGCCCAUUAGUCCCGGUUCUUCAUGAACCGGGACCCAUGGGGGGCAUUAGUCCCGGUUCAUGAGCCCUGGGGGCCGGCCUGGGCCUCGUGGGCAUUGGUCCCGGUUCGUGUGGACCCAUUUGUCUCGGUUCUAGGCACGAACCGGGACCAAUGGGCCGCGCUCCUGGCCCACAUCCAUUGGUACCGGUUCAUGCCUUGAACCGGUUUAGAAGGGGGGCUUUAGCCCCGGUUUAUGCCACGAACCGGGACAAAUAAUUUGCCUAUAUGUACCCAUCGCCGCGGCAGAGCACUCUGUUUUUUUUAUGGCCGGCGAGGGGAGGGCAUUUGGGUGCUCUAGCUUACCUCCUAUGCACAUGUGGUGUUCGAUGAAAUGCCCGAGCCACACUAGUUAAGCUAUCUCCUCUCGAAGCUCAACCUCGGAGCUCCAUUUUUUCCGAGAUUUAGCGGUCCGUCACGCCCCGUCCCCGUUUUCACCGCUGGGGCACGUCCAUGUGUACGUCCGCAAUGUCGUCUGCAAGCUCCUCCGCAGAUAGUGAGGUAAGUCGAUUUGGAUUUUCGGUUGACAUUGGAUUUGGGGAUUUCUCAUCUAGGGUUUCACGGGAUGGGCCGUAAUAUGCGCCUUUCUGGCUCGUAGGUGGAUGGCUGCGGGAUUGUGCAGUUCCAAUCCGAAUUUUUCAUUCCCAAUCCAAGUUUCUACGGCCUUGAGGAGCGCUCGAAUCACCGUUGCCCGGGGCAUGGGCUAAUUCCUGCUCGCCGUGUUUCUUGGGGUGGAGCAAGCACGGGAAGAAGGUUUUUGGGUUGACCAAUCCAUGUAAUUCCUUAAAACAUCAUUUUGUCCUCUGUUUUCAUCGAUUUAUUGCAAAGUUAUGAAUUUCACCUAAUUAUGUGAACUCUGAUUUAACAGCUUCAUGAUGAGUGUGAUUGGGUUGUUUGGAUUGACCCCCCUCCCACUGAGCUAGUGGGGCAAGCUUUUGAGGAGCUUCAUGGUGGCCUUGAACGUAGUUGGAUCAAAGCUAGUAGGAUGGAGAAGAAGGUUAUGGAUCUGAACAAUGAAAACAAGAAAAUGCAAUUGAAGUUGCAGAAAAGGAAUGAGCUCAUGGAAACAAUGGGUUUUCUCUUUGUUCUUGGCAUCAUCAUUGUGGCUAGUUUAGUUUCUAUUUUAUCUAAGCAAACCAAUUAAGUGGUAGUGUGUGUGUUAUGUUUCUGCUAGUGUGUUGUGCCCUAGAUGUAAUUCUAUCAUUUGUGCACUAUUGUGAACUUGAACAAAUGUAAUGUUGUGCCCUAGAUGUAAUGGAUAUCAUGUGUUAUGUUAAAAUUGUCACCACUGCCAACUUCGAACCUUUUCAGAGUUCAUUUCAAAUGCUUUUAAAUUUUAAGGUCUUAUAGCUCAAAAUAAUCAGUAAAUGCAUGAAAAAUAACAAAUGAAGUCAGAAAGGAUUGUAAAUUGAUGAUGUGGCUUUGGAUGGUGCAUUUUGAACACAAAAAAACUAUGGAGUUCAAAUAAGUUCAAAAAAAUGAAAUCCCUUUGUAACAGACGAGUUUCCAUAUGAAACCCUCAUACUUCGAAAGAGAUUGUCCGUUUUGUACACAAGUGCAUCCAGUUUUUGCCGUAACCCUCUCAACUUUCUCGCACAUGCUAUGUGGGUGAAAUGAUGAUACCAUCCCAACUUGGAACCUUUUCAGAGUUCAUUUCAAAUGCUUUUCAAUUUCAUGGUCUUAUAGCUCAAAAUAAUCAGUAAAUGCAUGAAAAAUAACAAAUAAAGUCAGAAAGGGUUGUAAACUGAUGAUGUAGCUUUGAAUGGUGCAUUUUGAACAUAGAAAAACUAUGGAGUUCAAAUAAGUUCAAAAAAAUGAAAUCCCUUUGUAAGAGACGAGUUUCCGUAUGAAACCCUGAUACUUCGAAAGAGAUUGUCCGUUUUGUACACGAAGUGCAUCCAGUUUUUGCCGUAACCCUCUCAACUUUCUCGCACAUGCUAUGUGGGUGAAAUGAUGAUACCGUGCCAACUUGGAACCUUUUUGUUGGGGAACGUCGGCAUGGGAAACAAAAAAUUUAGGUGAAAUGAUGAUACCAUGCCAACUUGGAAUCUUUUCAGAAUUCAUUUCAAAUGCUUUUCAAUUUCAUGGUCUUAUAGCUCAAAAUAAUCAGUAAAUGCAUGAAAAAUAACAAAUGAAGUUAGAAAGGGUUGUAAAUUGAUGAUGUGGCUUUGAAUGGUGCAUUUUGAACACAGAAAAACUAUGGAGUUCAAAAAAAAUGAAAUCCCUUUGUAAGAGACGAGUUUCCGUAUGAAACCCUGAUACUUCAAAGAGAUUGUCCGUUUUGUACACGAAGUGCAUCCAGUUUUUGUCGUAACCCUCUCAACUUUCUUGCAUAUGCUAUGUGGAUGAAAUGAUGAUACCAUGCCAAAAUAAAAAGAUAGGCGCAAUGCUCACUUGCACGUUCCUUAGCUUCAGGCCAACGUGCAGGUGAGCACUGUGCUUCUCUCUUCAUCGUCUCUACACUCAGGGCUUAUAAACCGCUGCGAGUGCCUCUCGCUUGGCGAGGUGGGACUAAAGAACAGCUGCAGAAAGAAUCAACUAAAAAACUCUUUUACCGGUUCAUGCCACGAACCGGUACUAAAAGGUGCUCGUGGGGCCCCAGCCUUAAAACCUGUACCAAAUAAAAUGCCUUUGUAACGGCCUUAGAACUGGUACUAAAGGAUUCAACUAAAAAGCUUUUAUAAACCUCUACUAUUAUUGAAACUAAAAUUAUAUAGAAUUUUGUUACAAACUUUAAUAGAAAAAAGAAAUAUCAUAAAAGAAAAUAAAUAAGUAAUUAGAAUUUUGUUCAAAACUUUAAUAGCAAAAAGAAUUAUCAUAAAAUAAAAUAAAAAAAGUAAUUAGAAUUUUAUUCAAAACAUUANNNNNNNNNNNNNNNNNNNNNNNNNNNNNNNNNNNNNNNNNNNNNNNNNNNNNNNNNNNNNNNNNNNNNNNNNNNNNNNNNNNNNNNNNNNNNNNNNNNNNNNNNNNNNNNNNNNNNNNNNNNNNNNNNNNNNNNNNNNNNNNNNNNNNNNNNNNNNNNNNNNNNNNNNNNNNNNNNNNNNNNNNNNNNNNNNNNNNNNNNNNNNNNNNNNNNNNNNNNNNNNNNNNNNNNNNNNNNNNNNNNNNNNNNNNNNNNNNNNNNNNNNNNNNNNNNNNNNNNNNNNNNNNNNNNNNNNNNNNNNNNNNNNNNNNNNNNNNNNNNNNNNNNNNNNNNNNNNNNNNNNNNNNNNNNNNNNNNNNNNNNNNNNNNNNNNNNNNNNNNNNNNNNNNNNNNNNNNNNNNNNNNNNNNNNNNNNNNNNNNNNNNNNNNNNNNNNNNNNNNNNNNNNNNNNNNNNNNNNNNNNNNNNNNNNNNNNNNNNNNNNNNNNNNNNNNNNNNNNNNNNNNNNNNNNNNNNNNNNNNNNNNNNNNNNNNNNNNNNNNNNNNNNNNNNNNNNNNNNNNNNNNNNNNNNNNNNNNNNNNNNNNNNNNNNNNNNNNNNNNNNNNNNNNNNNNNNNNNNNNNNNNNNNNNNNNNNNNNNNNNNNNNNNNNNNNNNNNNNNNNNNNNNNNNNNNNNNNNNNNNNNNNNNNNNNNNNNNNNNNNNNNNNNNNNNNNNNNNNNNNNNNNNNNNNNNNNNNNNNNNNNNNNNNNNNNNNNNNNNNNNNNNNNNNNNNNNNNNNNNNNNNNNNNNNNNNNNNNNNNNNNNNNNNNNNNNUCCUGCUGAUUUGUUUGUUCAUAGUAUUUUCUUUGUCAAUUUAUGUGUAUGUUCAUAUUGUGUAUGUAUAGGAAAAUUGUGCAUGAUCAAAGUUAUUUAUGAAUAUGUUCAUAUUUAGAAUAGAGGAAAAAGGAAAAAAAUAAGAAGAGAAAGUGUUUAAUAUAAUUAGUUAGAAAAAUAAUAGAGUUAUAGUUAAACUAGUUUAUUUUUAGUAAGUACUACUUUAUUUUAUUUAUAGUAAGUGCUUCAUAUAUAGUUGAACUAGCUAGUUAAUUUAAUAAACUACUUUAUUUUACUAUAUAUAGAAGUAGUUUGUUUUUAGUAAGUACUACUUUAUUUAUUUAUAGUAAGUGCUUAGUAGUUGAACUAGUUGAUUUAAUAAAACUACUCUAUUUUACUAUAUAUAGAAGUAGUUUAUUGUUAGCAACAAAAUUAAUAGAACUAGUUUAUUUUAACUAUAUAUAGAAGUAGUUCCCGCAUCGACGUCGACUUGUUGUUAUAUAUAAUCGUGACACACUUUAUUUACCUAUGUAUGAUGAUGAUUAAUUAGUAGGACUUGUUGUUAUAUAUGAUGAUGCAUGAUGCGAGCAUGAAGAGUUAUUAUAUAUAGAUGUUUAAUUUUUUUGAUAUAUAUAGUGUGUCACGAUUAUAUUGUUGUUUACACACAUUUACCACAUUAAAACAGGAAAUGUCUCACGAUGGAUAUUGCGAGUGUGAAUAUUGCGGCGACUCUCGGGGUAUGUGUGACAUGCCUCACCUUCGAGAUGAUAGGUUCUUCAGCAUGAAGAUUGACGAGAACGGCGAUAUGUACCUCCCUUGCCAUGCAAGAAGAUAUGUGUUGGACAGGCUCGGUUUCGAAGACCACAAGAAAAUUGAGACGAGGAGCGCUAAGCUGAGGACUAUACAUGGUCACACAUUUGUUAUCCAAGUAUUUAAUUCAGUUUUUCAAACAAAAUUUGGGUGCCCAAAGUGGGAAGAUCUUUGCAAGGCAUAUGGAUUUCAGAAGGGAAUGGAAAUCAUCUUCGAUCUUCGUCCUGAAGAUAAUAUGCCAGAAAACAUUGAUAUUUGGGUGGUUGUCGAUGAUAUGCUUUCUGUUUUACCUCCAUGUGAGUUUCUCAACCAUAUUUGUCAAGUAAUUUGCAUUUAUAUUUAUAAAUAGUUGGUGUAGUCAACCUGUUUUUCCUCUCGCAAUUUACAUGUCUUGUGGUGUUCAUCGUCUAUUAAAACUUUGGCCACACGUUGCAGGUUUCUAGUUAUUGGGCCAUAGUUAUAAUUAUAUCAUGUUACAUGUUGUACAAACAACAUCAACAACCCAAAUUGUCCUUUGAAUGAUCGUAGCACAUGUGGUCGUUUUGAAUGGUUUAUAUAAUGCCCACAUCUUGUGGACAAUUACAAAAUUUUUAAGUAUUUUUGAAACAUUAAAUUAUUACAAAAUUUGGGUGGUUGUCGAUGAUAUGCUUCCUGUUUUACCUCCAUGUGAAGUAAUUUGCAUUUAUAUUUAGAAAUAGUUGGUGUUCAUCUAUAUACUAAAUUUGUUAAAUUAUAAUUUACAGCUUAUUUCGUUGCUUCGACUGAAUUAUGAAAACUAAUUGACACGACACACUACACGUAUGGAUCACAUCUAACUUGGGAGGAGAAGGAUGAUCUUCUCCACUUUCUUGUUGCUGGUGUUCUGGCUUCUAGGGAUACCCUCCCGUAUCAUUUUGGAAUUGGCAAAAGUUAUUCAUUUUACAUGCCACUAGUGCAUAGGUUGAGUCCAGAUGACAUUCGCCGAAAUGUCUUGGUAAGAGUUUCCUAAUUAAGGACGCUCCACUAUUGCAUAAAUGGUGUUGAUUACAUUGCUAACUAGGUUAUUAUUAUGUUCUUCAACAGCAACUGCCACAUGAUGUAGUGCCUCCGUUAAUGGACCCAGAAGGUCAAAUGAGAAUUAGAAGCCCGCUGAGGGCUGAGUUCUAUGCUCCAUACUUGAUUAACUUCAAAUCAAGAUAAAAAAGACUCCAAAUUAAAGCAUGGAGAGAAAUAAAGAAGGUUCGCAAGCCACAAGCUGGAGACCGUUGGAUCUAUGUGAUUCAUCAUGGAGCUAUAGGUGUUAUUCUGUUUUAUGACAUUAUAUCUAAGAGCGAGGACUAGGCCUUAUGAGAGACAAGUUAUUCUAGUUUAUAUUAUUACUUGACAUGAUCGAUUAAUUAGGAUGCAUGAUGCAUAUGAUGACUAUAUAAAUAUUAUGAUGUUUCUCUGUUUUAUUUUAUGUGUAUCAUAUGAUAAGUUGGUAUAUGAUUAAGUUGAUGAUGAGUUGUUAGAUGAUCGAUUAAAAUACUAUUGCCAUUCGACGAAAAUGAUAUGAAAUGAUAUAGUGUAAAAAAGAUGCAUAUAUGUGCAUGUAACUCGUGUCUACAUUUUGUAAAUAUGUUCGACAAAGCACGACGGAUGACCAAGCACGGAGAUAUAUAAGAGAGGACACUUUUCUUUAUUAAUUAGCUAAUAACAACCUAAAUUAACCCUUAAACCAGCCCCUUUAAAAAAACCUCAGCUCCAGCCAGGUGCUGACGCGUGUAUACCUUUUGGUCCCGAUUGGUGUCAUCAACCGGGACUAAAGGCCCCCCCGCCUGGCCUGGCCUGGCCGCAGCGGCCACGUGGAGGCCCAUCUGUCCCGGUUUGUGUAAAAACCAGGACUAAAGACAAAGGGCAUUAGUAACGACCUUUUUGUCCCGGUUCCGAAACCGAGACAGAAGGUCCUUAUGAACCGGGACAAAAGGUCUUUUUUCUACUGGUGAUAUGAUCUUAAGUCUAAAACUUAAUGGAAUAAAAGACCAAAACAAUUGAUUCCGUGAUACCUCAUACCUACCAUGGUGUAUAGAAUCAGAAUGAUUCAUUGAACAUGACACGUGCUCCUAAGAAAUGAUGAAAAUAAUUGAUUCCGUGAUACCUACCAUGGUGUAUAGAAUCGUAAUGCUUCAUGAACAUGACACGUGCUCCUAAGAAAUCAUUUAAUUAAUGAAUCAUGGAAGAUAAUCACAACCGAGAAAUCUCUCACUGGAUCACAAUGGAUAAACGGGAAAAGUCGAGGGUUUUUGUUUCAAGGGUUAAUCGAGAUUCCAAGUAUAUAUUUUUUAGCAUAUAGCGACUCGGAGGAAACCCUAGCAUCGCCGCCGCCGCGUUUUUCCCCUCUCUCCCUCUCCUCCGCCGCUGCCAGAGGGAGCCACGGCACUGGCUUGUGGCCUUGAUGAAGAUGGCGGCGGGGACCCUGCGUCUGAAAGGCGGCGGUUCCCGGGGCGGAGGGAAUCUUGCGCCUGACGGAGGCGGCGGUUCCCGGAACGGCAGCUUUGUUCCAGGGGCGGCGGCUACCGGUGGCGGCGGAGUCUCAGGCCUGGACGACGGCCCACGGGAUGGCGGUGGCUUCGGUCGGCGGCUCCUGGUGGCGGCGGGGUUCCAGAGCCUGGACGGCGGCGUCCGGGGUGGCGGCGGCUUCGGCUCCCGGGGCCGGGUCGCCUAGUAAUCCAGCUUGAUCCACCGCGCUAGCCUGAUUUCGGGUGCCUUCUCCUGAUGCUUGCUGGCCGGAUCUAAUCCGGUCUUGGCGGUGUCGACGGCGACGGCUUACCUGGGACCAUGGUGGUGGCGGCGUCCCCUCCGUUGGGGAUGACGGGUCUGAUGGUGGGGAGACAUGGUUGCCGGUGAAAACCGUGCCGACGGCGAACGAUGGCGGCUUUCUGAGCCGUUACCUUGAUGAAGGCUCCGUUAUGUAACUACUGUUGAUCCACUCGUCCUGCUCCGGAGGAAACCCUAGGAUCUGGUUUUCCAGAUCGGACGAUGACGACAUUGCGGUGUCGUUCCUCUCUAGGGAGCAUCGUUUCUGGAGCAGUGCUGGAAGACGGUGGCAGGAGGUGGAGCGUCUUCGUCCUGCACGGAGCUUCAGUGGUGAUGUCAGGUCAUGCCUGGCCGACAGGUGUUGCGCUUUGUCAUGCCUGGUCGGCAGGUGCUACUCACGACAGUUCUUACUGAGCCUUCACGUUUGGAUGGACGAGCGCGGGGAGGUGGUGUCGUUGAGCGCCGUGGUGGCGUCGACGGAUGGCUGGACUGACAAGGAUUAUGCAGAUCUCUCUCCUGAAGAUGGUUCAACAGUUCGAGGAUGAUGACAGCUUCUAAAACGUGUGCAUGUGGUGUACGCUUUAGGUCUGCUGCACCGGCUGUGAGUUUUGAUACAUUAUGUGGAUGGACCGAAGACGACACCGGAUUUAGAUAUGGGAAGUGAGAGCACUCUACAUUAUCACGGUAUGUAGGUGUGAGAGAGGGCUUUGGAUGGUUUAAUGUAUGUACUUGUGAGACCUUUGUUGAAUAAGUAAUAAAGAUAGCUGCAUGCAUCACUCGAUGCAGAGGCCGGGGUCAGCCUUUUUUUUAAAAAAAAAAUAGUCUCUCCCGCAAAACCAGUACACAACAAAAGCUAGAAGUUAAUCGAGGUAGAAAUGAUGCCACCACAACACAGAGACAGAUCCACUAGGCCGCUAUCACAUCCUCAAUCAACUCGAAUACUAAGUGAAGUAAUCUUGUACUUAUUUUACGCAUAGUUAAGCUUUCCAAAUCUCUUUGUAGAUGGUCGCAGACGUGAAUCUGGGAAUGUUAUUCGUCUGCCAACUUGGAAUAGUCACCAUCACCAAGCUGGAUAACUUGAUCUAGUAGGCCUGACAACAUGGCAACAAAACAAGGCAUGAUCUAGGAUGCCCAACCUAUGGAAGAGAUAGCCGGUAGCCCUAAGCCAACUCAGUCAACCCUCUAAGUAUACACUACAUCAAUGUAUUUACAAAUUUUUGGAUUGGAUACUUCUAUUAUAUUUUUUUAUUGGAUACUAUCAUAUGUGUGAAUUUUUAUUGCUAUUUUUUUCGCAAUAUAUGACUUUCUGGAUUUUAUAAAUAUUCCAUCAUAUAAAUUAAUGGCCAAUAGAUCAGUGUGGACCAUGUUAAUACUCCCUCCGUCACGGUUUAGAAGGCACGCUUGAAAAAUUUCUGGACCAAGGUAGCCACCGAUUGAUUGUGAGAUGUAGCAGGUGUAGGUGCAUUAGCACCUAAUCAACUGAGAAAAUACUAGUACUAAUACGUGAGGAGCAAAUUAGGAAGGCGCAUGCAUGAGUAAUACUAGUACUAAUUAAUAGAAGUAAUUGCUUUCGCGCCUUAAACCUUGUCUAUAACUGUGUCUUCUAAACCGUGACGGAGGGAGUUUUAAAAAUGGCAACAAUUAAGAGUACUAGAAAGAGUAAACUCUCCGUGCCUAAUUAAUUCCACAUCAAGUCUCUGGAAAUAGGCUUUUACCCCGCUUUAUUUACAAAGUAACGACCGAACAAGGUACACUGAUCAACCAUGCAAGAUGGCAUGGUAGCCGUCACCAAGUCCUAUAAUCCGUCAUCAUGGAUCUUUCAUUGUUCCUAGUUCCUCUCAUUCCUACUAUUUCUUAUAUCCCAUUAGAUCGUCUCUCACCUCCUUAAGUCCUUAUAUUUGUAUGUGAUUCUAGGAACAUGUAACUGUGGAGUAAGACAAUAGAGCAGGGCUUGUUAUCUAUGCAGACGAAGAUGUGUUACUAUAUAUAGUGCAAAUUCAAGACUGUAUGUGAGACUCAUACGGUGUAAAUACAAGCACAAAGAUUUGAACCCUGGUGGGUGAGUCAUGCCGUCACUACUCCACCACAAUGACAAGUGGUGGCUCUCAAGAUACUAUCAUAUAUAGUGGAUAAAAGGUAACUUAUUUUGUCCUUCCUACCACAUGUUAUGGAUGAUAAUGGAUGGGUUGCUGCUGGCUGACUGAAACAACUUUCCGUUUUCCUAUUCAAAGUUUCGACAAGAGAUAGUAGCACAUCACAAGUCGUAAAAUGGAUAGCUAGGGGAUAAGAAGGAGGAGAGACAUGACAUUUACAUUGUUGAUGGCCACGGUGAAGUGCACCGUCAUUAAUAAUAUGUCAUGCAUACGAAUCAUGGUGAAUGAUAAAUCUACGUGGACAUGUCUGUGGGCAUGCCAUCUACACAAGUUUGAAUUUCUACGGGAAAACUCACCUUAGAUCACAAGCAAUAUAAUACUCUCUGUAAUCUAUAAGCACGUGUUUGAGAAACUCACAUAAGCUCUAUACAGAACCCGGGACCAAAGAAAGGUCAUGCGCUACAAUUUGGACCAUCUAUAUGCACGUCUAUCACUUGCUCAUCAAUGCCACCAACAAUAAGCAACAAUAAAUGUAUGAAAAGUUCGAAAAUGGAAUGCUAUAAAUACACUUUUUCCAAGUUUUAAGAAGUGAAUUUUUUAAACCGGAGCUCUUAGGGAUCUAUUUUUUAAACCAUUGUACCCGUCUUUUUUUCCGCUUCUUCUCUAAUGCAAUGAUACGCAUGUUUAUACGUAUUUUAGAAGCAAAAAAAUUCCAAAUUCACUCCGUACAAUACAUAUUUGCAGGCAGUGGCGGAGGAUGGACUAAACUUGAGGCAGGGCACACGGGCUUUGGCCACUCACCACCGGCAACGUUGCCGCGUCAAUGCGUCGCCUUGCACCCUGCCUGCACCGGACCAAUCAAGAUAGGGCGGCCGCCGAUCCUUGUCCUUCUGGUCCUCCUCCACUGGAUGCAUGAGAGGACAUUAACCGGCUGAGUGUGAUGUUACGCACUAGUUAUAAAUUAAUACAAUCGGUUGAGAGACCAACCAGAAAGCGUGAGUUAGGGACAAAGUGAAUUGGCGUGAUGCAUCUAAUGGCUCCGUAAAAAAAUAUAAGAGCGUUCAGAUCACUAAAGUAACUGCUAAUCUAAUACCAAUGAAAUGGAAAAAUGCUACCCGUGGUAGAAGUACUGCUAACUUAAUAAGCAUGUACACCUAGGGGUUUAUUGGACGAGGAUCCCAAAUAGAAAGCUGAACUUCUAUGCAUGUGCUCUGAAUCUUAACAGGGUCACACAUGGCUACUAUCCAUUACGAGCUCCAUGUGAUUUACUUCCUUAUUUCAUGGCGCUUAGAUCUGAUGUAUUAUGAUGUAGGAGUAAAUCAUGAAGAGAUGCAGUAGAGUAACCUGUCUUUCCAUGCACACACUCUGAAUGCGGUUAAUCACACUGGGGUAUCUUGUAGUCAACAGACUGCUCUGUGUCAAGCUCAAGCAGUAUUGUUUUAUCACUGACCUCUCAAAAGACAAAUUUGUGGGGUGCUACACACAAGUUUGUGAUGUCAAAAGACAUCUAGGUUUGCCAAGGGCUCUUGAAUUAUUAUUUUUGAAUGUUGAUACAAAUUCUUACAUCUUUAAGUCAUUGCGAAGCAUUCACAUCACAACACAGAGUCCUAGCACUGCCACCGGACUCUACCAUCUGACUGUCACUAGUCUGGAUGUCUUCCAUUAUAGGGUACCUCAUUUUAUAGGCAUUUGGUUCUUCACUUACUGAUUUCUUCAUAUCAUCAUUAUGUAAUUGAUGUACUAAUAAGCUAAUGCUACCGAAAUGUUAAAGUUGAGUAGAGUGUUUCUCAGGUGGUAGUGUUGAGGUACACCCUGAUCAAACCACUUCACUGAGAUUUGGAACACCAUGGUUGCAACUGUAGUUCCUUAUUUGUUUUGUAUUACCCACUAUGACUCUUUCUAUGCCUUUUUUUCUAGUCCUCCAAAGGACAGUUCUCUGGUGCAACAUAGAAAAAGAGUUGGGAAAAAUUCUACAUCUGUCUUCAACUCCCCAAAUUCAUAUGGAAAACAAGACUGCAUAACCAGAAUGGCAAAAGGGCCUUACCAAAGACAUUUCGCUCACUUCUAGGAACCAAAGUUGUUUCAACAUAUGUCUCCAUGUAAGAUUGAGCAACAACUUCUACCUUAACUUCAUUCAACAAUAGAUGAAUCCAUCACUCUGUUGAUAUUUCUUACGCCUCCUACUCCCACAUGUUCUUUUCAACUCUUUAGUUCUUCUCUUGCAAUUUUUGUGUCGUUCAUGUAACUGCCCCUACAUGAGUUAGAAAGCUAGGUUCUGUCCAACAAGUGAAAACAACGAGAAACGAUGUAACAUGAUAUCUACUAUGGUAAAGUUAGAGUGUUUUAUAUAAGGAAAAGGUAUUAUUAAUGGAAGUAAAUAUG
rnacentral:lncRNA from 1 species